CGCGUAGACGGCAUGUUAAGUUUGCUGUUAAAUACUCCGGCUUAACUGGAGAUAUGCUGCAAAAACUGGCAAGCUAGAGGGUGGAAGAGAGAAGUGGAAUUCUCGGAGUAGCGGUAAAAUGCGUAGAUCUCGAGAGGAACACCGAUGGCGAAGGCAGCUUCUUGGUCCACUCCUGACGUUGAGGCGCGAAAGCGUGGGAGCAAACA
rnacentral:rRNA from 1 species